GCUCUCUUAGCUCAGUCUGGUUAGAGCGUCGUGCUUAUAGCUUAAACUAUACUAGAGUCACGCGAAGGUCGCGAGUUCGAUCCUCGCAUGGAGCA
rnacentral:tRNA from 1 species